GCCCGUGUGGUCUAGGGGUAUGAUGCGUCCUUCGGGUGGACGAGGUCCUGCGUUCAAAUCGCAGCUCGGGCC
rnacentral:tRNA from 1 species